rnacentral:rRNA from 1 species
GAUGAACGCUAGCGGCAGGCUUAAUACAUGCAAGUCGAGGGGCAGCACGAAUAGCAAUAUUUGGUGGCGACCGGCGCACGGGUGCGUAACACGUAUACAACCUACCUAUAACAGGGGGAUAGCCUUUCGAAAGAGAGAUUAAUACCCCGUAAUAAAUUGAGUGGCAUCACUUGAUUUUGAAAGCUACGGCGGUUAUAGAUGGGUAUGCGUCUGAUUAGCUAGUUGGUGAGGUAACGGCUCACCAAGGCGACGAUCAGUAGGGGAUCUGAGAGGACUAACCCCCACACUGGUACUGAGACACGGACCAGACUCCUACGGGAGGCAGCAGUAAGGAAUAUUGGUCAAUGGAGGCAACUCUGAACCAGCCAUGCCGCGUGCAGGAUGACGGCCCUAUGGGUUGUAAACUGCUUUUGUACCAGAGAAAACCUCUCACGUGUGAGUAGCUGAUAGUAUGGUAAGAAUAAGCAUCGGCUAAUUCGUGCCAGCAG